rnacentral:rRNA from 1 species
CUUAGCGGCGGACGGGUGAGUAAUGCUUAGGAAUCUGCCUAUUAGUGGGGGACAACAUUCCGAAAGGAAUGCUAAUACCGCAUACGCCCUACGGGGGAAAGCAGGGGAUCUUCGGACCUUGCGCUAAUAGAUGAGCCUAAGUCGGAUUAGCUAGUUGGUGGGGUAAAGGCCUACCAAGGCGACGAUCUGUAGCGGGUCUGAGAGGAUGAUCCGCCACACUGGGACUGAGACACGGCCCAGACUCCUACGGGAGGCAGCAGUGGGGAAUAUUGGACAAUGGGCGGAAGCCUGAUCCAGCCAUGCCGCGUGUGUGAAGAAGGCCUUUUGGUUGUAAAGCACUUUAAGCGAGGAGGAGGCUACUUAUAUUAAUACUCUAGGAUAGUGGACGUUACUCGCAGAAUAAGCACCGGCUAACUCUGUGCCAGCAGCCGCGGUAAUACAGAGGGUGCGAGCGUUAAUCGGAUUUACUGGGCGUAAAGCGUGCGUAGGCGGCUUUUUAAGUCGGAUGUGAAAUCCCCGAGCUUAACUUGGGAAUUGCAUUCGAUACUGGGAAGCUAGAGUAUGGGAGAGGAUGGUAGAAUUCCAGGUGUAGCGGUGAAAUGCGUAGAGAUCUGGAGGAAUACCGAUGGCGAAGGCAGCCAUCUGGCCUAAUACUGACGCUGAGGUACGAAAGCAUGGGGAGCAAACAGGAUUAGAUACCCUGGUAGUCCAUGCCGUAAACGAUGUCUACUAGCCGUUGGGGCCUUUGAGGCUUUAGUGGCGCAGCUAACGCGAUAAGUAGACCGCCUGGGGAGUACGGUCGCAAGACUAAAACUCAAAUGAAUUGACGGGGGCCCGCACAAGCGGUGGAGCAUGUGGUUUAAUUCGAUGCAACGCGAAGAACCUUACCUGGUCUUGACAUACAGAGAACUUUCCAGAGAUGGAUUGGUGCCUUCGGGAACUCUGAUACA